AUUGAACGCUGGCGGCAUGCCUUACACAUGCAAGUCGAACGGUAACGGGCCUUCGGGUACCGACGAGUGGCGAACGGGUGAGUAAUGCAUCGGAACGUACCUUUCAGUGGGGGAUAACGUAGCGAAAUUUACGCUAAUACCGCAUAUUCUGGGAGCAGGAAAGCAGGGGAUCGCAAGACCUUGCGCUGAUUGAGCGGCCGAUGUCAGAUUAGCUAGUUGGGGAGGUAAAGGGUCACCAAGGCUACGAUCUGUAGCGGGUCGGAGAGGAUGAUCCGCCACACUGGAACUGAGACACGGUCAAGACUCCUACGGGAGGCAGCAGUGGGGAAUUUUGGACAAUGGGGGCAACCCUGAUCCAGCCAUGCCGCGUGAGUGAAGAAGGCCUUCGGGUUGUAAAGCUCUUUCGGCCGGGAAGAAAUCCUAUCAGCUAAUACCUGGUGCGGAUGACGGUACCGGCAUAAGAAGCACCGGCUAACUACGUGCCAGCCGCCGCGGUAACAC
rnacentral:rRNA from 1 species